UGCUUCCACUGUCCACCCCCCACCCCCCGGCCCCUGGGGUAAGUGCUGUUGACCUCAGGUCCAGUUUGUUUGCAGCCUCCCUCUUCUGACAGAUCGGGCUUCAGGUCGACCUUGGGGUAAUGGAUGAAGAACUACAGGUUUGAUCCUUACACGGGACAGUUUGCUUCACACUGAGAAAAACCUGGCUACUUUCUGCCUCCCAGCUCCAGUUGCAAACUGGAGUUAAAGUCGAGUUUCUGGCUCCCUGCAAAGUAUUCCUAGUACUAGAAAGUCACGUCACCCGGUGUGUUCGUGUGGUGACUGCAGCCAUAUCUAGUCCCAGCGAGUCGGCCUCCCAUUAGGGAUGAGCUAAGACAGCUCCUUCGUUUCUUCCUCACUCAGACUUAGCCCUGGAACUGGCAGUUCUGGGGACCAAGAGGUAGGCAUCUGCCUCCUGCAUAAUUAGUUACAUCAGUCUCAAAAAGCAUUGAUGGCCCAUCCCUUUGGGUAUCAUGCUGUGCCUGGCACGAGCUAGUAAUCCCCACCCGGUCCUGGCCCUCCCGAGUUUACAACCUUAAGUCACACAAUGACACAGAUCCCAAAGGCGAGCAGUUAACAAAUACAUCCACUUGUCCACCAAUCACAAGGGAUCCAUUGAGUGAGCCACUGCAACAAACAGGAACCCCUUCAAAGAGCUUCCAGUCUGGUGGGACCAACUACAUAAUCCUUGGUAAGAAAAGGAGGUGGCCCUGACAAGUGCAACUCGAGAAAUGCAAUGCUGUAGAGUCCAAAGGUGUCUGACUUGAACGAAAUGAUCCCACUGGGGGACAAUGCAACAUAUACUCCAGGGUCAUGUUUUGUCAUGAUGCAGCAAGGAGAUCUGUUCCUAACUUGGACUUGGUUGUCUAACCCUCAUCUCUUCUCUUUAUUACAAGGUAAGCAUAGUGGAAAACAUAUUGGACUUAGAUUCAAACACACCUGAACCUGUAACUUAUGAGCCAGGUGACCUUGGGGGUAAGUAAAUUUAUUUCUCUAAUGGGGUUAAAUAAUGCCUACUCAAUGCUUUAAAAGAUUUUCAGUGUGGAAUAAGACUGCAAAUGCUUACAAUAAUAGCACUAAGACUAAUAACAGCUAACAGUUAAUUAUAUAAUGCUUACUAUAUGCUAGGCACUGGUAUUAAGGUCUUUACAUGAAGCACUCAAUAAAUAUUAGCUGCAGAGAAAUCUCACGGAAUUGACUAUAUAACCUGCCCUAACUGACGGGAA
rnacentral:lncRNA from 1 species